rnacentral:rRNA from 1 species
UGGCUCAGAGCGAACGCUGGCGGCAGGCUUAACACAUGCAAGUCGAGCGGGCGUAGUAAUACGUCAGCGGCAGACGGGUGAGUAACGCGUGGGAACGUACCUUUUGGUUCGGAACAACACAGGGAAACUUGUGCUAAUACCGGAUAAGCCCUUACGGGGAAAGAUUUAUCGCCGAAAGAUCGGCCCGCGUCUGAUUAGCUAGUUGGUAGGGUAACGGCCUACCAAGGCGACGAUCAGUAGCUGGUCUGAGAGGAUGAUCAGCCACAUUGGGACUGAGACACGGCCCAAACUCCUACGGGAGGCAGCAGUGGGGAAUAUUGGACAAUGGGGGCAACCCUGAUCCAGCCAUGCCGCGUGAGUGAUGAAGGCCCUAGGGUUGUAAAGCUCUUUUGUGCGGGAAG